AGUGAACGCUGGCGGUAGGCCUAACACAUGCAAGUCGAACGGCAGCACAAUAAGAGCUUGCUCUUACGGGUGGCGAGUGGCGGACGGGUGAGGAAUACAUCGGAAUCUACUUUUUCGUGGGGGAUAAUGUAGGGAAACUUACGCUAAUACCGCAUACGACCUACGGGUGAAAGCAGGGGAUCUUCGGACCUUGCGCGAUUGAAUGAGCCGAUGUCGGAUUAGCUAGUUGGCGGGGUAAAGGCCCACCAAGGCGACGAUCCGUAGCUGGUCUGAGAGGAUGAUCAGCCACACUGGAACUGAGACACGGUCCAGACUCCUACGGGAGGCGGCAGUGGGGAAUAUUGGACAAUGGGCGCAAGCCUGAUCCAGCCAUACCGCGUGGGUGAAGAAGGCCUUCGGGUUGUAAAGCCCUUUUGUUGGGAAAGAAAAGCAGCAGGUUAAUACCCCGCUGUUCUGACGGUACCCAAAGAAUAAGCACCGGCUAACUUCGUG
rnacentral:rRNA from 1 species